AAUUUAUUUAAAAUAAUCGGAUUUUUCUUAAAAUCAAAAUAAUUAGAACCUAAAAGUACCGUAAAACUUAUUGUUUAUUAAAAUGAGGUUCCAGCUCUAAUUCCGGUUCUAAGUAUUCUAAAAAAUGAGUUCUAACUUAGGAUCCAGUUCUUAGAUUUCCUUCAAGAACCCAGUUCUUGAACUGUUCACAAACAUACUGUUUAUUAGUUAUCAUAGGUAUAUAAUAUUAUGUAUACCUAUUGGCUAUUAUUUAUUAAUAUAUUGUUAUUAUAAUCUGUGAUAAGAUAAUUACUUCUAGGUACUUGGAAUGAUACGUUAUUUGGUCUUGGCCGUAGAACGUGCGAGAGGUAACAGUUGUUACUUGGACACAAUAUAGGUAAUUUAUGUAAAUAGUAAAAGGGUACCUAUCUAUUUGUAUAUUUUAUACAUAUAAGAAAUAAUAGAGAAUUUUGAAGAAGAAAAUUAAUUUUAUUACAGAAAUAGAAAAAAUUCAAAUUAUAUGUACCUAUACAGUAUACGUGGAUAAAGGUGAGGGAAACUUCCUAUUAUAGUAAUUAUAGAAGCACUCAUGAAAAUGCAAGUGGCAAAUAGCUGAUUCGGCAGGGGCAAAAUUGGAGAAGCAGGUUCCAGUUACUCUAAAAAAUUAAAGAAAUUUAUUAAUGUGGAUGAACGAAUUUGAAGAACUGUUCAAGGUACUGCCCCCCAGCCGGAGAAAAACGAAUCGACGACAUUGGUGUGCUCUUAUUGACUAUCCGCGAUGCAUACAAAUCUUACCAGCCACUAGGGUUGAAAUGCAGAAAAAAUCACUUUACACUUGAAGUUAAGUACACCCAAACUGGAUUCCAUUGGAAUACUGAAGUUAGUAUGAUUAAAUGAGGAAAGCUUGUAAGUUACCUUCUUGAUUUAAGUUAUUAUAGCCUCGGUUAGGAGACAUAUUAAUACAAUUUACAAUACUUUCGUAUUAUUAUUAUA